rnacentral:snRNA from 1 species
GCUGUCAGAUUUGUUUUAAGCAUACUAAAAAAUGAUUCAACGAUACAGAGAUGAUUAACAUGGUCCCUACCUGACGAUGACACACAAGUUCAUGAAGCAUUUCACACUUUU